rnacentral:tRNA from 1 species
ACUUAGUUGGCUCAGGAGGAAGAGCAUGCAACCCUCGACCUCAGGGUUAUGGGUUCAAGUCCCAUGCUGGGUG